CCUACGGGAGACAGCAGUGAGGAAUAUUGGUCAAUGGCCGUAAGGCUGAACCAGCCAAGUCGCGUGAAGGAAGAAGGAUCUAUGGUUUGUAAACUUCUUUUAUAGGGGAAUAAAGGUAUCCACGUGUGGCUAUUUGCAUGUACCCUAUGAAUAAGCAUCGGCUAACUCCGUGCCAGCAGCCGCGGUAAUACGGAGGAUGCGAGCGUUAUCCGGAUUUAUUGGGUUUAAAGGGUGCGUAGGUUGUUUUUUAAGUCAGCGGUGAAAGUUUGUGGCUCAACCAUGAAAUUGCCGUUGAAACUGGAAGACUUGAGUGUGUUUGAGGUAGGCGGAAUGCGUGGUGUAGCGGUGAAAUGCAGAGAUAUCACGCAGAACUCCGAUUGCGAAGGCAGCUUACUGAGCCAUAACUGACGCUGAGGCACGAAAGCGUGGGGAUCAAACAGGAUUAGAUACCCCAGUAGUC
rnacentral:rRNA from 1 species